UACGAAGGGGGCUAGCGUUGCUCGGAAUCACUGGGCGUACAGGGUGCGUAGGCGGGUCUUUAAGUCCGGGGUGAAAUCCUGGAGCUCAACUCCAGAACUGCCUUUGAUACUGAAGAUCUUGAGUUCGGGAGAGGUGAGUGGAACUGCGAGUGUAGAGGUGAAAUUCGUAGAUAUUCGCAAGAACACCAGUGGCGAAGGCGGCUCACUGGCCCGAUACUGACGCUGAGGCACGAAAGCGUGGGGAGCAAACAGG
rnacentral:rRNA from 1 species